rnacentral:lncRNA from 1 species
GGCCCUGAAGCUGAAAGUUCUAGGGACAUUUUUUGUGAGUUUGUGUCACAGUAUUUGGAGACUAAUGAAGACAUUUAGAUAUAAAAGUAUCUUUACGAUGCAGGGAAGCACUAGGAAUGCAGUGAGUUAAGGUAGUUGGUGUAAAAAGACGAGCAGAGUUAAAGGUAGAUGUCCCAAAACACGAGGGAUCAGGUGUCCCACCAGCUUGGCAGGCAUAGAAAUGCCCUACAAGUAAACAACAGCUGAUUAGGCCUUCGGAAACUCCUUUACUUCAUACAUCUAGUGAAGAAAUGAAGUGAAAAGUUUUCCAUCCCAAGUCCAAGUUGCAAAGAAGAGCGGAUAUUUUGACUCUUAGACAAGUGUCAGUACAUUCAUCCUCAUGUGGUCAUAAAAAAGGCUAAGAAAUACGGCCACAGCUGUUGUAUGAGACAAUAGCAAUCCAAGGCAUUUGGAAAUGAGUCAGCCAAAAUAAAAAAAAAAUAUUUAUAAACAAUAUUAAUACUCCAAAAAUAGUUUCUCAUUUUCCUGCAUUGUUUCUCAGCCUGGGAAAGGGACUUAUGCUGUGUGUAUGUGCUUUUCCCACAGUAACUCUGAAUGUCUUCAUCAGCUGCUGCUGGCAACACCCUGACAAAGUAUCUGCCACCCAGAAAACCACAUACUGUAAGUGUCUGUACUUCUGACUCACAGCUGCCCUGCCCAUUUGAUAUACACUUCUGUCGUCUAAGCAGAUUUAAAUACUGUGACAGAUUGAAGGAGAAGAGUGUCGUUUCCAGAUGUGUGGCAGCGGCUGUGGAGCAGGAGAAAUGA